rnacentral:rRNA from 1 species
GAUGAACGCUGGCGGCGUGCUUAACACAUGCAAGUCGAACGGUGAACACGGAGCUUGCUCUGUGGGAUCAGUGGCGAACGGGUGAGUAACACGUGAGCAACCUGCCCCUGACUCUGGGAUAAGCGCUGGAACCGGCGUCUAAUACUGGAUACGAGCCGUGAUCGCAUGGUCAACGUCUGGAAAGAAUUUCGGUUGGGGUUGGGCUCGCGGCCUAUCAGCUUGUUGGUGAGGUAAUGGCUCACCAAGGUGUCGACGGGUAGCCGGCCUGAGAGGGUGACCGGCCACACUGGGACUGAGACACGGCCCAGACUCCUACGGGAGGCAGCAGUGGGGAAUAUUGCACAAUGGGCGCAAGCGUGAUGCAGCAACGCCGCGUGAGGGAUGACGGCCUUCGGGUUGUAAACCUCUUUUAGCAGGGAAGAAGCGAAAGUGACGGUACCUGCAGAAAAAGCGCCGGCUAACUACGUGCCAGCAGCCGCCGCCG